rnacentral:tRNA from 1 species
GCCCUUGUAGCUCAGAGGAUAGAGCAUUGGCCUCCGAAGCCAUGAGCCCAGGUUCGAGUCCUGGCAAGGGCA